UACGAAGGGGGCUAGCGUUGUUCGGAAUUACUGGGCGUAAAGCGCACGUAGGCGGACUGGUCAGUUAGGGGUGAAAUCCCGGGGCUCAACCCCGGAACUGCCUUUAAUACUGCCAGUCUUGAGUUCGAGAGAGGUGAGUGGAAUUCCGAGUGUAGAGGUGAAAUUCGUAGAUAUUCGGAGGAACACCAGUGGCGAAGGCGGCUCACUGGCUCGAUACUGACGCUGAGGUGCGAAAGCGUGGGGAGCAAACAGG
rnacentral:rRNA from 1 species